AUACUUACCUGCAGGGGAGAUACCAUGAUCACGAAGGUGGUUUUCCCAGGGCGAGGCUUAUCUAUUGCACUCUGGACGUGCUGCUCCUGCGAUUUCCCCAAAUGCGGGAAACUCGACUGCAGAAUUUGUGGUAUUGGGGCACUGCGUUCGCGCUUUCAGCUG
rnacentral:snRNA from 1 species